CUUGUUUUUGACUGCUCACCGGAGGAUAAUCAUGUAAAUGACUCAUACCUUUUAUUCUGGGUCACUUCUCUUGGGAGGGAAUAACAGGAACCACCCUUCACAAUAUUACUCACCUCUACAUCAGCUCAGGUCCGUUCCAUCCUGGACUGCCUGCUGUGAGUCCUUAUGCUUAGGUUGGCUGGUCUCCUUAAAGACUUCAUUUUCAAAAGAACAGGGUGGCCAGAUCUGGGAGAGAAACAAACAACACAGCCUUUCCAUAGAAGCCCAAAACAAGUCAGUUGGCGCAAGACAAAAUAUUAAUGACUCAUGGAAUUAAAAAUGUUGUCAUUCAAUACACAGGGCAACUCUUCAAGUUGUUUCGUUGUGGCGUAAGACACCUUUAAAUAAUAAAAGAAACAUAAUGUACAGUAAUGAAAUUGACUGCUAAUUUACAUGAACCAGUCUGAGCUGAUGACCUAUUCAAACUAUAGCCACUUUGGUGCCAUUCACAGUGACGGAGAAAUUGGUGUUCUCCUCAGAGAACCUGCACUGGGACAUGCCUGCAUGCAUCAGUAUGCAUUGUGUGGGCGGCUGUCAACACUAAACACUCAGACCAGACCAGCAUUGGGAGUGGGCAUGUAUAUCUAACUAUUAGCCUAAGCUCCUUAUGUCUGCCUGGUAAACUCAACUGUUUCUGCUUUUCUUGUUGCCAUGAAAUCUGUAUUGCAUGUAAACAUAAAAAUGUUGCUGCAUCACCAAAGAUGCAUAAUAGUGGGAGUGCCAU